rnacentral:rRNA from 1 species
AUGGCGCAAUGGUGGUCGAGCAAUGUGGAGGGAUGUAGACAUUGCACAUUGCAGGUAGCGUCUGUAGCGCUAGGUUCCUUAUUUCCGCGAACUGGGGCAGUUGUUGAGGUUGGACGGAGCCCUGAGCUUGUGGGUUUAGCUAAGAUGGCUGGAAGGAGACCUGGCUUGAUGGAUAUUGCUGCUGAGGCUGUUGGAAGGAGACCUGGCUUGACGGUUGUUGUUGUUGUUGUUGUUGUUGUUGUUGUUGUUGUUGUUGUUGCAGUUGCUGUUGUUGUUGUUGUUGCAACUGUUGUUGUUGUUCUUGUUGAUGCAUAA